rnacentral:rRNA from 1 species
GCAAGUCGAGCGGAACGAUCCUAGCUUGCUAGGAGGCGUCGAGCGGCGGACGGGUGAGUAACACGUGAGAAUCUGCCCAUUAGAGGGGGAUAGCCUGGGGAAACCCAGGCUAAUACCGCAUAAUCCCUACGGGGGAAAGCAGGGGAUCUUCGGACCUUGUGCUGAUGGAUGAGCUCGCGUCGGAUUAGCUUGUUGGUGAGGUAGUGGCUCACCAAGGCGACGAUCCGUAGCUGGUCUUAGAGGAUGAUCAGCCACAUCGGGACUGAGACACGGCCCGAACUCCUACGGGAGGCAGCAGUGGGGAAUAUUGGACAAUGGGGGCAACCCUGAUCCAGCCAUGCCGCGUGUGUGAAGAAGGCUUUCGGGUUGUAAAGCACUUUCAGCGAGGAGGAAGGCCUUAAAGUUAAUACCUUUAAGGAUUGACGUUACUCGCAGAAGAAGCACCGGCUAACUCCGUGCCAGCAGCCGCGAUAAUACGGAGGGUGCAAGCGUUAAUCGGAAUUACUGGGCGUAAAGCGCGCGUAGGUGGUUUGGUAAGCGAGAUGUGAAAGCCCCGGGCUUAACCUGGGAACGGCAUUUCGAACUGUCAGACUAGAGUGUGGUAGAGGGUAGUGGAAUUUCCUGUGUAGCGGUGAAAUGCGUAGAUAUAGGAAGGAACACCAGUGGCGAAGGCGGCUACCUGGACCAACACUGACACUGAGGUGCGAAAGCGUGGGGAGCAAACAGGAUUAGAUACCCUGGUAGUCCACGCCGUAAACGAUGUCAACUAGCCGUUGGGACUCUUGAAGUCUUAGUGGCGCAGCUAACGCACUAAGUUGACCGCCUGGGGAGUACGGGCCGCAAGGUUAAAACUCAAAUGAAUUGACGGGGGCCCGCACAAGCGGUGAGCAUGUGUUUAAUUCGACGCAACGCGAAGAACCUUACCUGGCCUUGACAUCCAGAGAGCUUUCCAGAGAUGGAUUGUGCCUUCGGGACUCUGAGACAGGUGCUGCAUGCGUCGUCAGCUCGUGUCGUGAGAUGUGGGAUAAGUCCCGUACGAGCGCCACCCUGGUCCCUUAGUUGCCAGCACGUAAUGGUGGGGAACUCUAGGAG